rnacentral:rRNA from 1 species
GCCUAACGGCUGAACUGGCAACUUGGAGAAGUGGCAAGUGUUCCAGUAUGGGGAGCAAAACAGCUAUGGGUCAAGUUUGAUAUCUUUAGGAGGGGCGAAGCUCCUCUUAUUGUGAGGGCGAGUUAUAUAACACCAUAGGACUGGCCGUCCCAUAUGAAAAGAUUAUAUUAGAAUUGAAUGAAGCUUUGUUUAUAUAUUGAUAAUGACAGUAUAUAUAUCGUGUCUUGACUAAUUGCGUGCCAGCAGUCGCGGUAAUACGUAAGAGACUAGUGUUAUCAUCUAAUAGGUUAAAGGGUACCCAGACGGUCAAUAUAGCUUAUAAAAUGUAGUAC